GACCCAGUGGCCUAAUGGAUAAGGUAUCAGCCUCCGAAGCUGGGGAUUGUGGGUUCGAGUCCCAUCUGGGUUGCA
rnacentral:tRNA from 1 species